UACGUAGGUGGCAAGCGUUGUCCGGAUUUAUUGGGUUUAAAGGGUGCGUAGGCGGCUUAAUAAGUCAGUGGUGAAAGCCGAUCGCUUAACGAUCGAACUGCCAUUGAUACUGCUAGGCUUAGUAUAGUUGAGGUAGGCGGAAUUGACAGUGUAGCGGUGAAAUGCAUAGAUAUUGUCAAGAACACCCAAAUUGCGAAGGCAGCUUACU
rnacentral:rRNA from 1 species